UCCUACGGGAGGCAGCAGUGGGGAAUAUUGCACAAUGGGCGAAAGCCUGAUGCGGCAACGCCGCGUGAGCGAUGAAGGCCUUCGGGUCGUAAAGCUCUGUCCUCAAGGAAGAUAAUGACGGUACUUGAGGAGGAAGCCCCGGCUAACUACGUGCCAGCAGCCGCGGUAAUACGUAGGGGGCUAGCGUUAUCCGGAAUUACUGGGCGUAAAGGGUGCGUAGGUGGUUUCUUAAGUCAGAGGUGAAAGGCUACGGCUCAACCGUAGUAAGCCUUUGAAACUGGGAAACUUGAGUGCAGGAGAGGAGAGUGGAAUUCCUAGUGUAGCGGUGAAAUGCGUAGAUAUUAGGAGGAACACCAGUUGCGAAGGCGGCUCUCUGGACUGUAACUGACACUGAGGCACGAAAGCGUGGGGAGCAAACAGGAUUAGAUACCCUGGUAGUCCACGCCGUAAACGAUGAGUACUAGCUGUCGGAGGUUACCCCCUUCGGUGGCGCAGCUAACGCAUUAAGUACUCCGCCUGGGAAGUACGCUCGCAAGAGUGAAACUCAAAGGAAUUGACGG
rnacentral:rRNA from 1 species